ACCAGUGGCAGUAGCAAGUUGAAUGUACCGACUCUAAAUGAAUCAAUUUUCAACAUUGCAUGUGGAUAGUACCUGAAUGGGAGACCAUUUGGGCAAUCACUUGCCGCUGGUU
rnacentral:rRNA from 1 species